AGGACCGCUGGCGGCGUGCCUAAUACAUGCAAGUCGAGCGAAUGGAUUAAGAGCUUGCUCUUAUGAAGUUAGCGGCGGACGGGUGAGUAACACGUGGGUAACCUACCCAUAAGACUGGGAUAACUCCGGGAAACCGGGGCUAAUACCGGAUAAUAUUUUGAACUGCAUAGUUCGAAAUUGAAAGGCGGCUUCGGCUGUCACUUAUGGAUGGACCCGCGUCGCAUUAGCUAGUUGGUGAGGUAACGGCUCACCAAGGCGACGAUGCGUAGCCGACCUGAGAGGGUGAUCGGCCACACUGGGACUGAGACACGGCCCAGACUCCUACGGGAGGCAGCAGUAGGGAAUCUUCCGCAAUGGACGAAAGUCUGACGGAGCAACGCCGCGUGAGUGAUGAAGGCUUUCGGGUCGUAAAACUCUGUUGUUAGGGAAGAACAAGUGCUAGUUGAAUAAGCUGGCACCUUGACGGUACCUAACCAGAAAGCCACGGCUAACUACGUGCCAGCCGCCGCGGUUAAUACA
rnacentral:rRNA from 1 species